rnacentral:rRNA from 1 species
AUUGAACGCUGGCGGCAUGCUUUACACAUGCAAGUCGAACGGUAACAGGGUGCUUGUGCCGCUGACGAGUGGCGAACGGGUGAGUAAUGCGUCGGAACGUGCCGAGUAGUGGGGGAUAACGCAGCGAAAGUUGUGCUAAUACCGCAUACGUACUGAGGUAGAAAGUGGGGGACCUUCGGGCCUCACGCUAUUCGAGCGGCCGACGUCUGAUUAGCUAGUAGGUGAGGUAAAGGCUCACCUAGGCGACGAUCAGUAGCGGGUCUGAGAGGAUGAUACGACACACUGGGACUGAGACACGGCCCAGACUCCGACGGGAGGCAGCAGUGGGGAAUUUUUGACAAUGGGCGAAAGCCUGAUCCAGCCAUGCCGCGUGGCUGAAGAAGGCCUUCGGGUUGUAAAGGACUUUUGUCAGGGAGGAAAUCCCUAGCGUUAAUACCGCUGGGGGAUGACAGUACCUGAAGAAUAAGCACCGGCUAACUACGUGCCAGCCGCCGCCGUAAGAC